rnacentral:rRNA from 1 species
GCGGCGAGCGAAAUGGGAAGAGCCUGUACGUGAUAGUCGGACCGAUAACAGAAUCCUCUGGAAAUAGGAGCCAUAGUGGGUGAUAGCCCCGUAUGUGAAAUCGGACCGGUGGUACUAAGCGUACGACAAGUAGGGCGGGACACGUGACAUCCUGUCUGAAUAUGGGGGGACCAUCCUCCAAGGCUAAAUACUCGUAAUCGACCGAUAGUGAACCAGUACCGUG